GCCCCAGUAGCUCAAUUGGACAGAGCGUCGGACUUCUAAUCCGAGGGUUGCAGGUUCGAUUCCUGCCUGGGGUACAA
rnacentral:tRNA from 1 species